UAACCUGCCCAAGAGAUCGGGAUAACACCUGGAAACAGAUGCUAAUACCGGAUAACGACAGAUGAUGCCUAUCAACUGUUUAAAAGAUGGUUCUGCUAUCACUCUUGGAUGGACCUGCGGUGCAUUAGCUAGUUGGUAGGGUAACGGCCUACCAAGGCGAUGAUGCAUAGCCGAGUUGAGAGACUGAUCGGCCACAUUGGGACUGAGACACGGCCCAAACUCCUACGGGAGGCAGCAGGC
rnacentral:rRNA from 1 species